AGAGUUUGAUCCUGGCUCAGAACGAACGCUGGCGGCGCGCCUAAUACAUGCAAGUCGAGCGAGAAGACGUAGCAAUACGUUUGUAAAGCGGCGAACGGGUGAGGAAUACAUGGGUAACCUACCCUCGAGUGGGGAAUAACUAGCCGAAAGGUUAGCUAAUACCGCAUACGACUCUUGGUCUGCGGAUCGAGAGGGAAAGCGAUACCGUGGGUAUCGCGCUCUUGGAUGGGCUCAUGUCCUAUCAGCUUGUUGGUGAGGUAAUGGCUCACCAAGGCUUCGACGGGUAGCUGGUCUGAGAGGACGAUCAGCCACACUGGCACUGCGACACGGGCCAGACUCCUACGGGAGGCAGCAGUAAGGAAUAUUGCGCAAUGGGCGACAGCCUGACGCAGCGACGCCGCGUGGGGGAUGAAGGUCUUCGGAUUGUAAACCCCUUUCGGCAGGGAAGAUGGAACGGGAAACCGUUCGGACGGUACCUGCAGAAGCAGCCACGGCUAACUUCGUGCCAGCAGCCGCGGUAAUACGAAGGUGGCAAGCGUUGUUCGGAUUUACUGGGCGUACAGGGAGCGUAGGCGGUUGGGUAAGCCCUCCGUGAAAUCUCCGGGCCUAACCCGGAAAGUGCGGAGGGGACUGCUCGGCUAGAGGAUGGGAGAGGAGCGCGGAAUUCCCGGUGUAGCGGUGAAAUGCGUAGAGAUCGGGAGGAAGGCCGGUGGCGAAGGCGGCGCUCUGGAACAUUUCUGACGCUGAGGCUCGAAAGCGUGGGGAGCAAACAGGAUUAGAUACCCUGGUAGUCCACGCCUUAAACGAUGGAUACUAAGUGUCGGCGGGUUACCSSSSUGCCGCAGCUAACGCAGUAAGUAUCCCGCCUGGGAAGUACGGCCGCAAGGUUGAAACUCAAAGGAGUUGACGGGGGCCCGCACAAGCGUGGAGCAUGUGGUUUAAUUCGACGCAAC
rnacentral:rRNA from 1 species